GGGGGGAGGGGGGGAGGGGUUCGUGAUUCCGAAAUCCCGGACUUUAAAACAUGAAAUCCCGAGGUUCCGAAUUUAUAGAAAUUUCAAUCCCGCCAUCCCGAAAUUCGAAAAAAGAAUAGCCGGAUCCAGAAAGGAUCAAUCCGAAAUCCCGUGCUUAAAAACACCCGAUCCCGGAGUCCCGUUUAAGGUCCCGUUUAAGGUCCCCCCUCAUUUGUGUAGAUUGACUAAAUAACAAAACACAAUAUUACCAGUCAUGUCUCAGCCUGUGUGCGAUU
rnacentral:lncRNA from 1 species